rnacentral:rRNA from 1 species
CCUACGGGAGUCAGCAGUGGGGAAUAUUGCACAAUGGGGGAAACCCUGAUGCAGCGACGCCGCGUGAGCGAUGAAGUAUUUCGGUAUGUAAAGCUCUAUCAGCAGGGAAGAAAAUGACGGUACCUGACUACUACUCCCCGGCUAACUACGGGCCAGCCGCCGCGGUAAUACGUAGGGGGCAAGCGUUAUCCGGAUUUACUGGGUGUAACGGGAGCGUAGACGGCGGUGCAAGCCAGAUGUGAAAGCCCGGGGCUCAACCCCGGGACUGCAUUUGGAACUGUGCUGCUAGAGUGUCGGAGAGGCAGGCGGAAUUCCUAGUGUAGCGGUGAAAUGCGUAGAUAUUAGGAGGAACACCAGUGGCGAAGGCGGCCUGCUGGACGAUGACUGACGUUGAGGCUCGAAAGCGUGGGGAGCAAACAGGAUUAGAUACCCUGGUAGUC